rnacentral:rRNA from 1 species
UACAGAGACUGCAAGCGUUAUUCGGAUUCACUGGGCGUAAAGGGUGCGCAGGCGGCCGUGUGUGUGAGGCGUGAAAGCCCGGGGCUUAACCCCGGAAUUGCACCUCAAACUACACGGCUAGAGCAUUGGAGAGGGUAGCAGAAUUCACGGUGUAGCAGUGAAAUGCGUAGAUAUCGUGAGGAAUACCAGAGGCGAAGGCGGCUACCUGGACAAUUGCUGACGCUCAGGCGCGAAAGCGUGGGGAGCAAAAGGG